GAUUAACGCUAGCGGCAGGCAUAAUACAUGCAAGUUGAACGAGAUAAGUUUUAGCAAUAGAACUUUGAAAGUGGCGCACGGGUGCGUAACACGUAUGCAACCUACCUUUUACUGGGGAAUAGCCUCUCGAAAGAGAGAUUAAUACCCCAUAAUAUAUUGAUAAGGCAUCUUAUUAAUAUUAGAGUUACGGCGGUAAAAGAUGGGCAUGCGGCUGAUUAGGUAGUUGGUGAGGUAAUGGCUCACCAAGCCGACGAUCAGUAGGGGGUCUGAGAGGAUGUCCCCCACACUGGUACUGAGACACGGACCAGACUCCUACGGGAGGCAGCAGUAGGGAAUAUUGGACAAUGGGCGCAAGCCUGAUCCAGCCAUGCCGCGUGCAGGAUGAAGGCCCUAUGGGUCGUAAACUGCUUUCGUACGGGAAGAAACCUCACUACGUGUAGUGAGUUGACGGUACCGUGAGAAUAAGGAUCGGCUAACUUCGUGCCAGCCGCCGCGGUAA
rnacentral:rRNA from 1 species